AGCAUUACAGGAGUGGCAGGGAAGGAUGUGGGUGGCCUGGAAGCUGUGAUGAGUCGAGUGAGGCAGUCGGGUGGGCGCCAAUCUGUGGUGAGAGUGGAGUGAGGGGACGUUUGUGACUCCGCUCCUGCAUUUCCACGUAACUUCCCGGAUUUUACCAAUAAAGUGCCAAUGCAAAGGCCUGGCUUGGGAGGAAUCUUGAGCCUCCUGUAAGAUUAAGGUCAAGAGCCAUGACAUAUGUAAACAAGUUGUACAGUGACAGUGACAGCAAUAUGCAACUAGAGCAUUGCAUUUUGUGUGCACUGCCGAGAGGAAUGCAUUGACUGAGGUGACAGGCUAUCCAUCAGAAUCCUUCCUGAUGACCCCUUUGGCCAAUCCCACCAUCCUUGCCAAGCAUCACUACAACAGCUGUCAUUUCAGAACAAGGGCUGUAAUCAAACAAAUUUUUGGCUAACUUGAGUCACAGUUUAGAUACCUUCACAAGUCAGGUGGUCAUUUACAGUAUGAACCAAAAUAAAUGUGUAAGAAUAAUUGCUGCUUGCAUGUUGAUGCACAAUUGGUGCAUCAAUCAUAGGAUUCCACUGGAAGAUUGGAAGAGGAAGACGUGAUAGAAUUAAGAAUUAAUGGAAAUAAACAAAAUGAUGGAAAUGCAGCUCAGGAUUCACUUAUUCAGAAUUGGUUUUCUUAAACUUUGAGGAAUGUGUAUUGCCAUGUUGCUUUUCUUUCAAUUUUUUAUCAGAAUUUUCAUGAUUAUUAUUCUUCUGAACUUCCUAACUGCAUGCCUCUCCCCUCCUGUGGCUUUGCUGCUAGAGACUUUCUACUUACUCUCAUCCUUACUAUGUCCACCUUUUUAAUGCAAGAGUUAAUCAAUAUCUUCACUCUUACAUCCCUUUCACUGGUAAACGCUGGAGCUUUUUCUGCUUCUAUAUUUCCUUUUGCCUUUGACAGUUUCAAAAGAGGCGCAACAAAACACUUAGAUUUGCUUUUUUAAGUGACGUAUUAGUAAUUACGAAGUAGCAAGCCCCACAGUCGUAUUUGGUUUUAUUAACCCCACAGUUGCAUUCGUUAAACACUGGAUGCAAGCCCCAACAUUGGGUUGGUAAAUACUAAGCUCACCAUCACUGGUUGGCAGCUCUUGUUCCCUCAGUGACAAGGAAAAGUUACUGAAUUUUGUUAUUUCUCAUUUAGUAGAUUGAGUUAUGCAUUUUCUUCCAGCUAUAGCUAAAGAAAGAGGUGAUCUAUCCAUAUAUAUGCCCUCAGAAUUAUCAUACAACAUAUAAUAGUGAAGAAAUUUGUGAUUGUAUGGUGGUGUUUGGAGCGAUCAGAGGCAGAGGUUGGACAUAAUUUGGCUUGUAAUAUAGUUAAUAGUGAGCAUUUCUCACUGAACAUAUAUGUGGAGAUGUGAGUUAUUUCUUUGUGUACAGAACUAAAAGAAACAUGAAAUCCACCUACAGUAGUUUGAAUAUUGAAAGUGCAUGCACCUAUGCUGAGGCCAGUGAAAUUGCUGUCCAGGAGAUGAGUCGAAUGUUUUCUCAUGCUUGAUAAAUGGGAGUUAUAACAGUA